rnacentral:tRNA from 1 species
GGAGAGGUGUCCGAGCGGCUGAAGGAGCAGCAUUGGAAAUGCUGUGUACGAUUUAUCGUACCGGGGGUUCGAAUCCCCC